rnacentral:rRNA from 1 species
AUACUAGAGUAGCACUCGCAUAUCAAUAAGCGGAGGAAAAGAAACUAACAAGGAUUCCCUUAGUAACGGCGAGUGAAGCGGGAAGAGCUCAAAUUUGAAAUCUUCAAGGUUCUACCUUGACGAAUUGUAGUUUAAAGAAGUGUUUUCUGUUGAAGUUUCGGUAAAAGUUCUUUGGAAUAGGACAUCAUAGAGGGUGAGAAUCCCGUAUUUGACCGUUACUUUCCAGCUGUGUGAUACACUUUCAAAGAGUCGGAUUGUUUGGGAAUGCAGUCCAAAAUGGGUGGUAAAUUUCAUCUAAAGCUAAAUACUGGCGAGAGACCGAUAGCGAACAAGUACCGUGAGGGAAAGAUGAAAAGAACUUUGAAAAGAGAGUUAAACAGUACGUGAAAUUGUCAAAAGGGAAGCGUUUGACACCAGUGUUGUUUUCUCGAAAAUCAAUUAAAAAUGGUGGGAUUUUGUGUUGUAUUGACUUUAUCAGCUUUCUGCACUUUUUUCCUGUCUUUUUUAAUGCACUUUUCGUUUAACAAGUCAACAUCAAUUUCUUUUGUUGUAAAAGGGUAUGAGGAAGGUGGCUUUCUUUUCGGAGAAAGUGUUUAUAGCCUUGUACCUCUGCAAUCGGAGAGAUUGAGGUCUGCAGCGUAGACUCUUCGGGGUUAGAUACAUUUGUGCUAAGCUAUAGCUUUUUAUAGACAACUUGUUGACUAUAUUUAGUCUUGUGGCUUACUCGCUUAUGCCUAUUUUACCUACGCUUAGGAUGUGAUAGUCACAGCGUGUAC